GAUGAACGCUGGCGGCGUGCCUAAUACAUGCAAGUCGAGCGAACAGAUGAGGAGCUUGCUCCUCUGACGUUAGCGGCGGACGGGUGAGUAACACGUGGAUAACCUACCUAUAAGACUGGGAUAACUUCGGGAAACCGGAGCUAAUACCGGAUAAUAUAUUGAACCGCAUGGUUCAAUAGUGAAAGACGGUUUUGCUGUCACUUAUAGAUGGAUCCGCGCCGCAUUAGCUAGUUGGUAAGGUAACGGCUUACCAAGGCAACGAUGCGUAGCCGACCUGAGAGGGCGAUCGGCCACACUGGAACUGAGACACGGUCCAGACUCCUACGGGAGGCAGCAGUAGGGAAUCUUCCGCAAUGGGCGAAAGCCUGACGGAGCAACGCCGCGUGAGUGAUGAAGGUCUUCGGAUCGUAAAACUCUGUUAUUAGGGAAGAACAAAUGUGUAAGUAACUACGCACGUCUUGACGGUACCUAAUCAGAAAGCCACGGCUAACUACGUG
rnacentral:rRNA from 1 species